AGGAAAUAUCAUUAAUUUUUACUUUUCAAUUAAUAAGCCACAAAAACAGAUGUAAAAACUUGAUUAACGAGAUCAAAUACAAAAUUAACGUGUUAAGAAUAAUUGGUAAUUAAGAAAGUUAAUUAAAGCUAAGUUUAACCUGAAGGUUAGUACUCGGAGACAGACGUAGGAACAUGAAACACUUAAUAAUUAUUCAUGUUUUGUCAAGUUUAGUUUUGUAUUUUUGGAUUAAAAAUGCUUCUGGACAAAUUAUAGAGUUUCCAGGCGUGUAUUAUAAGAAAACUGAAUUCGACGUAAUCCACCGUGGCUCCUACAAUAUGACUGAUUGCGCUUCCGAGCUCAUUAAUUGUUGGGAAAUCGUCAGGCCAGAUAUAAUAUGUGACUAUGAAGAACGAUACUACGAGUCAGUUUGUGGAGCGCUGCGCUUGCACUGCAGUGGCAGAUAUGGAGCAGUCGAUGCCCUCUUCGGCGACAAGGCAUUUUCAUUAUCAUCAUUGGUAUGCGAAAGUCACCGUAUACACACGCGUCGUUACGUCAGUAUACCACGGAACGAUUCAAGAGCUAUAGCUAUCUUGCGCGCCAUCAAUUAUACAGAUGCGUUGGGCCCCGUCUAAAUAAUAUUUAAAUACAUGAAGAUCUUAGAAGAAGAUUUACGAGAAUCUAGAAUUUUAAUAAGUCUUGGCUUGAUAUGUGGAUUGAAUCAAAUAUAUUAACAAUCA